UACGAAGGGGCUAGCGUUGCUCGGAAUCACUGGGCGUAAAGCGCACGUAGGCGGCUUUUAAGUCAGGGGUGAAAUCCUGGAGCUCAACUCCAGAACUGCCUUUGAUACUGAGAAGCUUGAGUCCGGGAGAGGUGAGUGGAACUGCGAGUGUAGAGGUGAAAUUCGUAGAUAUUCGCAAGAACACCAGUGGCGAAGGCGGACUCACUGGCCCGGUACUGACGCUGAGGUGCGAAAGCGUGGGAGC
rnacentral:rRNA from 1 species